rnacentral:rRNA from 1 species
GACAGAGGUGCCAAGCGUUAGGCGGAAUCACUGGGCUUAAAGCGUGUGUAGGCGGAAGCGUAAGUGCCUUGUGAAAUCCCACGGCUUAACCGUGGAACGGCUGGGCAUACUGCGUUUCUUGAGCCACUCAGGGGUCGCUGGAACAAACGGUGGAGCGGUGAAAUGCGUAGAUAUCGUUUGGAACGCCAAAGGUGAAAACAGGCGACUGGGAGUGUGCUGACGCUGAGACACGAAAGCCAGGGGAGCAAACGGG